CCUACGGGAUGCAGCAGUGAGGAAUAUUGGUCAAUGGGCUUACGCCUGAACCAGCCAAGUCGCGUGAGGGAAGACUGCCCUAUGGGUUGUAAACCUCUUUUGUCAGGGAGCAAUUGGCGCUACGUGUAGCGUUAUCGAGAGUACCUGAAGAAAAAGCAUCGGCUAACUCCGUGCCAGCAGCCGCGGUAAUACGGGGGAUGCAAGCGGUAUCCGGAUUUAUUGGGGUAAAGGGGUGCGUAGGCGGAAUGCAAAGUCAGCGGGAACAUCGCGGGGCCCAACCUCGCUCCGCAGUUGAAACUGGCGUUCUUGAGUGGGCGAGAGGUAUGCGGAAUGCGUGGUGUAGCGGUGAAAUGCAUAGAUAUCACGCAGAACUCCGAUUGCGAAGGCAGCAUACCGGCGCCCAACUGACGCUGAAGCACGAAAGCGUGGGUAUCGAACGGGAUUAGAUACCCUUGUAGUC
rnacentral:rRNA from 1 species